rnacentral:rRNA from 1 species
AGAGUUUGAUCAUGGCUCAGGAUGAACGCUAGCUACAGGCUUAACACAUGCAAGUCGAGGGGAAACGACAUCGAAAGCUUGCUUUUGAUGGGCGUCGACCGGCGCACGGGUGAGUAACGCGUAUCCAACCUGCCCACCACUUGGGGAUAAACCUUGCGAAAGUAAGACCUAAUACCCAAUGACGUCUCUAGAAGACAUCUGAAGGAGAUUAAAGAUUUAUCGGUGAUGGAUGGGGAUGCGUCUGAUUAGCUUGUUGGCGGGGUAACGCCACCAAGGCGACGAUCAGUAGGGGUUCUGAGAGGAAGGUCCCCCCANAUUGGAACUGAGACACGGUCCAAACUCCUACGGGAGGCA